GAAAGAAUGAAAGAAAAUAGGAAAGGAAGAAAUUAGUUGGAAUUGAGAGCUUUUAGGAUUAUUAUGGUGGGUACAGAUGGAAGAGGGCAUUUAUGGGCAGACCUGGGAAGGUCAUGGAGCAGAUCCUCCUAGCAGAUAUGUUAAGACAUAUAAAAGACAAGGAGGUGAUCCAAGGCAGACUGUGGAAAUCAAAUCUGGGGCCUACGUAAGGGGUUAUGUAAGUGAAGGUUCGUGAGAUGGAUGUGGUGAAUGGUUGUAUCAGUCAGCAACUGUUGAGGCUAAAGCAGUGAGCAUCUUGAUGGAAGUCAUCUGGAAACAUCCUUCAGAUCUCCAUGGGAAAGAAAAGGAAUAGAGAAUCCACUUCUGAAUGCUUUGGUGUGACUGAUUCCUCUGCUGAAUCCUGAUUUUUUUCCCACUGUCUGAUAAAACAUCAUUUAUCAUGAGAAUGUUCAUUAAAUCAUGGAUUCCUCGGUGUCUGCAGAUACUCAGGUCACCUUGCAGAUCCUUCCAUGGAUACAAGAGGCUUCUGACAUCUCAGAUUAUUUCCCAUUAUGAUUCUAUAAACCAGUAUAAAAAGGAACUGCCAAAAUAUUUCAACUUUGCGAGUGAUGUCUUAGAUGAGUGGUCACAACUGGAAAAGGAUGGAAGAAAACCAGCAAAUCCAGCUUUUUGGUGGGUAAAUGAGGAGGGAGAGGAGGUGAAGUGGAGCUUUGAAGAGCUGGGAUUUCUCUCCAGGAAGGCAGCCAAUGUGCUCUC